rnacentral:sRNA from 1 species
ACAGCCUGCUGGGAAGCUGCAGAUGGGCAGGGUCUGCAGCUGCGCAGAGAAUGAAAUGGAUGGUCCAACACAGACAAGGCCGACCACUCCACCGGAUGAAAGCCUUGUCAGAGCAAAUCUGUAGGUAACUAUGUUUUUUAUUGGCCUAUUAUUUGUAAAGAAUUUUAGGAAACAAAGGGAAUUGCUACAUAUUGUUUUUUUUUUAAUUUAAUCGUUCUUAAAGAAUAAAUGUCUGGCCCUUUUAAGAGAUCUGUUUGAUGCAUGUCCAAAAGCUAGGACCUGUUUGGGUUUUGGUGUGUAUCUCGCUAUUUUUGCAUGUUUCUUUUAUGCAAAUUAUUAAACUAAUAGUAUUCCUAUAAAAGCUACAUUAUAUUUAUUUAUUUAGGUUUCUAAAGUAGGUUAUUUAAAUUAAAUUAUUCCUUGAGAAGUUCAUUUGUAUAUAUAAUGUUUUUAGAUUAUGUUUAACCCUAAACCUUCCAAGUUCCUCCCUGCCCCCACUGUGCCCUUCCCAAUUCUCUUCCUGCCCCCAAAUAAAGUACUGAAUCCUGUUAGUGUUCCUUGAUGUACAUUCUUGAGUCAUGAAAAGCUACACCUAACCGCAGCCCUGAAGAAAAGUUACAUUAUUUUGCCUAGCAGCCAUCAGUGGUCAGUCUGAGAGUCAGACAGCACACAAUCUCAGAUGUGGUUAUAGCCUUGAAUCGUUAGCUUUGUGUGUUUGGCUUAGAUUUGUGGCAGAAACCACGAAAUGGGGCUAUUUGGAGUGGCAUUAAGAGGAGUUUACCAGAACACAGGUAUUCUUUCACCUUUUGGGGGAAUUUCUAUAAGUUUAUAAUUGUUCAUACAUACAUACAUAUAUACAUACCUUAAUUAUACUUAAUUGGAUCUGUUUCUUUUGAGUUCAUAGGAAGAAAAAUUAGAUACUAAUUUAGGUCUGCUUUCUUUUCUAACCUGCAUUUUAACGUUUAGAUUUUACCUAAAAUUCUGAUGCUAUAAGGGGACUGAGGCUAAUAUUGUUGGUUUUCUGCUAAAGACUAAAAUCUAUCAUUUCUUUACAGAUUACCAGUUCCUUUUCAUUGGAAAGAGAAUUCUUUUCACAUCAACUAUAUUCAAGUCUACAACAGGUUAAACGUGACCAUGUUUAUGAUCAACUUCAAUAGAGCAUGAAUAGUCUACCUCAUUUUGUUUGAUUAUACAUAGCCUCUUUAUCAGUGAGAAAUAUGAGUUCAUUGAUUUGAGAAAUCAAUAUAAAAAUUGUAUGCAGGGUGGUUUCAAAAUCAUACUGAGGAAGCAACAUUUCUAAUUGCAGUUUUCUCAGACAACCCUUUUGUCAUUUGGGGAGGGAAUGUCCAGUUAUUUUUUAAGCUACCUGGGUAAGAUUCCUUUCCUCACUACUUUCAGAAAUCAGGCUUUUUACGUACAUUCAAAAAGGAGGUAUGCUGUUUUGUCCAUAUUACUUCACAGGGUAACCCAACUUACUGUUUACUGUGUACAAAGUGUAGGAUUAAUCUUUAUGCUAAAAAAUGUAUACAAUUUUAAGACAAGACCAUGGAAGUGCUUUAGUGCAUUACAGUAAUUAUCUUCAUCUUACCCAUGAAACCUUUCAUGACCCAAGUGACCUUGUAGUUAUUAAUAAUUAUAUUGGUUUAUUACUCCUGCACAACACCCUUUUCACAGUGUUACAUACACGAGGUUUCGAUUUUUUUCUACCCCAUCUUUUUAUUUAGUUCUGUGCCUCUUGUAUAAUAAAGUACAUUUCGUGGCAGUUAGGCAUGUAGUUGCCUAAGGAUGGAAAGUAUUGAGAAAUUAUGAUAUUCUAAUAAGAUAUCCCUGUAGGUACUGUGGAGAAAGGUGUACUAAAAUUCUCACGUUAAUUAAGACUGUUUUCCCUUCCUUUUUAGUUGUAAUAUAUUUUAUAUAUGCUAGUAAACACAUCUAUAUUCUAUACUCAGGGAUCACACUUUAUUCCAUUGAUUGAGAUAUAUAUGUUUAUUUCACACUAUAUUUUGUUUCUAGUAUUAUUUUUGUUUGUUUUCUUGCUGCUAAUUUAGAUGUUAAUGUUUUGUUCCAGUUUAUAAUCUCUUGUGGGCAGAAGAUGACAGAACUGACAUACUACAGAGGAAGGUAUGAAGAGUUACAGCGAGCAAGUAUGGGCCAUUCUCUCAGGUAUUUCUGCAGAAGCCACCCAUUAUAAGUGCACCAAACUUAUGUAUCAUUGCUGCUGUGGCCAGAAGAUGAUACUGAAUUUCUGAGAGCUGGAGUCAAGGGUGAUUGUGAGUUACCAUGUGGGUGCUGACAAAGGAACACAAGUCCUUUGGAAGUGCUCCUAAUCCAAGCCAUAUCACGAGACAGAGUCACCUUAGCUUUGUUGUUGUUGUUGAUGAUGAUGUUGUUGUUGUUUUUGACACAGAGUCUCUCACAGGGACCUGAGUUUCACAGAUUUGACUGCCUGACCAGGGACCUCCAGGGACAUGGAAUUCUUGACUUUCCAGUGUUUGCUAGGACUGAAGAUGUGUACCACCAUCACCCCACGGUUGUAAGGAAGCCAUACGUGUCUGACUGAAAAAUGGAUUACUUAGAUAAGGAUGACCCUUGAAGAACAAUCUUGCUUUGGGUUGAGAUACUUCAGUUAUGAAGACCACUUAGCCAGAGGCAGAACUACAGAAGGAAAAAGCAAGAUCUACCUGAGGACCAAGCUAUGUCACUCUUUGGAAUAUACC